rnacentral:rRNA from 1 species
UACGGAGGGUGCAAGCGUUAUCCGGAAUCACUGGGUUUAAAGGGUGCGUAGGCGGCUAAAUAAGUCAGGGGUGAAAGCUUGCAGCUUAACUGCGAAAUUGCCUUUGAUACUGUAUAGCUUGAAAGGAGCUGAGGUCAGCAGAAUGUGGCAUGUAGCGGUGAAAUGCAGAGAUAUGCCAUAGAAUGCCAAUUGCGAAGGCAGCUGGCUGGGCUUACUUUGACGCUGAGGCACGAGAGCGUGGGGAGCGAACAGA